GAUCCUGGCUCAGAUUGAACGCUGGCGGCAUGCCUUACACAUGCAAGUCGAACGGCAGGCGGGGGAGCUUGCUCCUGCCGGCGAGUGGCGAACGGGUGAGUAAUGCAUCGGAACGUGUCCUGUCGUGGGGGAUAACUGGCCGAAAGGUCAGCUAAUACCGCAUGAGACCCGAGGGUGAAAGGCGGGGGAUCGCAAGACCUCGCGCGACUGGAGCGGCCGAUGUCUGAUUAGCUUGGG
rnacentral:rRNA from 1 species